GUCGCUUGUUCAGAAUGAAUGAAUGAAUGUUAAAAGCUCGCUGCAGCGAUACUAGUUGCUUCCUCUUCUUCUUCUUCUUCCUCACGAUUCUUCUCUUCCUCUUCGUUGUUUCACAUGCCGCAACCAUUGGAGAAAGAGAAUCCUUGGAAGGAAGUUAUUUGUGAAUCCGUUGAAUUGGUGUUUUUGUUAAUUCAAUUGUGCCGUCGAGAGAAUUCAGGUCAUCGGGGAUUAGGGUUUCAAUCUCAACGGAGACGCGCUGAAUUCAAAUCAGUCGAAUUCGAUGAUUCUCGCAGAAUUAAAGCCAGUGGUGAUGCUUGAAUCGAUCUUCUGCGAUCCAUCAAGAGCGUUUCACAGAGUUGGAUCAUGAUGCUACUAGUAGCAAGAAGGGCUCAGAUUGUUGUCGUGAACAUCCCCCUUUGUUGUCUUGGAGAGAUUAAAACAACAUGAUGGAAGUCGAGAGACCAUAUUUUGCCAGGAGGAGAUGAGUUAUUACCUACGCUACUAUUGAGUCUUUUUUGCGCUCUGACUAAGCUCCACUUGUGAUAUUGUAAUUCUGUCGCUACCCAAAAAAUGUCUAGGCAGAUACUACACUCUUGCAUUCAUCCACUUUUGCCGGAGGAAGGCUAAAAUUGUCUCGGCCAAGACAAUUUCCUGUAAAGUCAUUCCAUGGAGGAAAACUGUGUUCGACAUGCGAGCUUCAGGAUAAGGGAAGACCAGUGACAAGAACAUGGAAGACGUUUACAGAUUGCUGACUGUGUACAAGAACAUGGAAGUUGUGAAGAAUAGGAAGAAAGUGCAUAUAUGCAGCAACGAAGAAAGUAAAGUUCAAUGCAUCUGAAACAAUGGAACUUGGAAGGUAGUGCAUCGGCA